rnacentral:lncRNA from 1 species
UGAGAUAGAUUACACACAGCAACGGUACUCUGUCAACUAAAGAAAUCGACUUAAAACAACAAUAGAGACAGGAGAGAGAGAGAGAGACCGGUAGCAGCGGCGGGGUGGGUGUUGAAGAACGGCGGGGGGGGGGGGGCAGCAGGGUGGAGUGGGUGGGGUUGCGAAACUACAGAGGUGAGGUUUUAGUCGCUUAAGUAUGUGGCAUUGUGUACCAGUCAUAAUAAAUUAUUUAACAAAAUAUUGUUGACAGGUUAAAAUAAAACUUCAAAUCCUGUCCCUCCACCACCACCACCAUAGAUCUACAACGGCGGCGUAUUAACCAAAUCAUCUUAGAAUUACUACUAGUACUACAACCACCACCACCACCACCACAGAUUUACAAAGGUGUAUUAACCAAAUCAUCUUAGAACUACUACUACUACUACUACUACUACCACCACCACCACUACCACAACCACCACCACUACCACCACCACAGAUUUACAAAGGUGUAUUAACCAAAUCAUCUUAGAACUACUACUACUACUACUACUACUACUACUACUACCACCACCACCACCACUACCACAACCACCACCACCACCACCACCACCACAGAUUUACAAAGGUGUAUUAACCAAAUCAUCUUAGAACUACUACUACUACUACUACCACCACCACCACCACAACAACCACCACCACCACCACUACCGCUACCACCAUCACCACUACUACUACUACUACUACUUUUAUUAUUAUUUUUAUUUGUGUUGGCCAGCAGUUUCACGUUAUUAUUCUCAAAAUAGACUGAGAUGUUAUAAGGUUGGGGCUAUUUAUUAUUAUCAUUGUUGUUAUUAAGGCAGUGAGCUGGCAGAAUCGUUAGUACACCAGGUAGAAUUGCUACCUGUGAACUAAAGUAACACCCCUUAUUUUUCAAGCACCAUCCAGAGUAUUCGAGUGUUUUCUGCAAGUGCUCCACCCUUACUGCAGCCCCAAUUUGUUCCACGUACUUCUUGAGAUUUUUGCUCACUGUUCCCAGGACUCCGACAAUUAUUGGUACUACUGCUACCUUUUUCAUCGACCACAACUGCUUAACUUCCUAAGCUAACCUGUCAUAUCUAUCGAGUAUUCUUUCUUCCUUAUUGCAUACCUUGUUGUCAGCUGGGCAUGCUAUAUCUAUGAUCCAGCAUCGUUUCCAUUCUUUCUCAAUUAACACAAUAUCUGGCUUCCUAUUCUCUAUCUCAUGGCCAUGGUUGACUUGGCCUUUCAUCCUUUUGGGGUUGAUAAAUUAAGUACCAGUGGAGUACUGGGGUUGAUAUAAUCAACAUAACCCUUCACCUAAAGUUUCAGGCCUUGUGUCUAUAAUAGAAAGCACUAUUAAUUAUUAUUAUUAUUAUUAUUAUUAUUAUAAUUAUUAAAGGCGUUGAGCUGGUAGAAUCGUUAGCAUGCCAAAUGAAAUGCUUAGCGGCACUUUGCCAGUUGCUGUGUUCUGAGUUCUAAUUCCACGGAAGUCGACAUUGCCGUUUAUCCUUUCAGGGUUGAUAAAUUAAGUACCAGUGAAACACUGGGGGUCAAUGUUGUUGUUGUUGUGUGUGUGUGAGGGAAGGAAGGAAUUAAAUGCAUGCAUAGAGGAAAAUACACACACACACACACACACACACAUAGUUCUUGUAUGUGUGUUUGCAUGUGCUUAUGUUUUGUAAACCUGUGUACUCAUGUCAUUGUGCAUGGAUAUGGAUAUGGUCAAGCUUUUGAGCAAAUCAUUUUUCAGAUCGGCUGACCGUAUCACCACUUUUUUGUACUCUUCUGUUUCAGCCGUUCCCCUUCAUUAAUUAUAAUAAAUCUUUGAAAUGGUGAAAUGACAGAAAUGCUAAAACACACUUACAGUAUUUAGUUUCAACCCUCAUCUGUGUUAAUUUUCCUUUUAUUCUCUUCUAAUUAAACAGGAAGCAUCAGUUAUAGACUAAGGUUCUUUUCAGCAGAUCAUACUCCCUCCCUGACACUUCUUACAAAUUAAUAACUUUUGCUAAUGUAAUAGCUCAUUAAUUAAAUAAUUUGAAUCAUACCACAUUCUUUUAGAAAGGGAUCUAACUUAAAUGCUUGAGAUUUUCGAAUAUUUUAAGCCUGUAGUGUAGUAGUUGACUUGCUGAGGGAGUUUAGGUUUCAUAUACAAAUCAUGUUUGUAGCUUUUUCUUUUUUGAAGUCUAUCUCUAUACAGUUUCUAUAGAAUUCAGAGCCAGCACUGUAACUUAUAACAUUUUGUAUUUGAAUAAGUCUAUGUAAACAAUGCAAGUGAAAAUAGAAAAAAAACAGUUAAUGAGUGUAUAUGCAUAUUUCAAGAGUUAUUGCUGUUUCAUCAGGACUACAUCCAACCUAUCUUUUUCUCAAUCACUCCACUUGAAGUAGUGGUGUUUUUUUUUUGUGUGUGUGUGUAUUCUGGCUCUUUAUGUUCUGAGUUUAAAUCCUUCUGAGGAGGUUAAUGAUGUUAGGCCCUUAUUUAAUUGCAUUUAGGAUCUCGUUUCAUGUUACAUCCUUUUGCCAUAUCUAACUCCAAAUAUUCUGUCUGUUUUGUUUAAACCAGCGAGAUCUGGUUGCUCACACCAUCACUCUACAAUGCCAUUCUAAAAAUAAACAGAAACAUCAUUGAAAUCUUGAAGCUCCAAGCUCAGUGCAUGAUUAAUUCAAAACAAUGUGAAUAGAUAAGCAUUAGAUUCGAUGUAGUAAUCUGAAUGCUAUGCUAAGGGGUUAAUACUGGAACAUAAAGAAGACGUUGCAAGUGAGAGGUGUUGCCAACCAACCAGUGGUGUAUUUUCUUAUUUCUUUAUUGCCCACAAGGGGCUAAACAUAGAGGGGACAAACAAGGACAGACAAACGGAUUAAGUCAAUUACAUCAACACCAGUGCGUAACUGGUACUUAUUUAAUCGACCCCAAAAGGAUGAAAGCCUAAGUCGACCUCAGCGAAAUUUGAACUCAGAACAUAAAGACAGAUGAAAUACCGCUAAGCAUUUCGCCCGGUGUGCUAACGUUUCUUUCUGAGUUGAGUAAGUAUUGUAUGGCUGAUUCGCGUUGAUGUUAUAAAGCCUCAGGAGACUUUUGAGAAUAUCAUACAAAAAGAUCAUGUUACAAAAGAAGAAGUGAAAAGAAGAAUAAGGCAGGCAACAGGGCCCUAGGAGGAACUUCUUACCAUAGUAAAGAAAUGCAAGCUCAGGUGGUUUGGGUAUAUUACCCUCUCAUCAGGGAUGGCCAAAACAAUCCUUCAGGGAACAGUCAAAGGUGGCAGACAGAAAGAAGUGGGGAAAAACAACAUCUGUAAAUGGACAGGCCUAAAGAUGAGAGACAGUGUGAGAGGCAGAAGACAGAUACGGGUGGAGGGAUCUGGUCAGCAGGUCAUCGGUGGUGCCUCAUCAGUUAGACAGAGAAGAGUGGAGGGAUCUGGUCAGAAGGUCAUCGGUGGUGCCCCAACAGUCAACCAGACUAUGGGAUAUAUGAUAUAAUCUAAUGUAUAGCUGAUGUUUUUAUUAGUCUGUAACACUGAGUUCAAAACCCCCAGUUGUAUUGCAACAGAUGGAUCCCCACCUGGUUAACUUGCUCUGUACAUAAUUGUGCUCCAAUGACAUAGAGGUUUAUGAGGUUCACCACCUUCCCUACUUCCACCCGCAUCAGUAAUCAUAAUAGCUUUUGAUAACAUAUACUAGUUGGAAUAAACAUAUAAUAUUUCAAACUAAAGGGAUUGUGCGCUGGCAGAAUUGAGCAUAUGUCUGAUUAAAUAAAUACCAUUUCGCUGCUAAACAUAUGAAAUUCAAUUCCUUCUAGGAUAAAAUAUAUAUCAGAUACUUUGCGGUGGUUUAUUCAAUUGACUGUUCAUUCUUCUCAACAAAAUUUCUCCUUGUCCAAAGUUAAAGGAAAUCUGUGUUUAAGAAGAAAUAAAAUACAAAUGUCUAUUUUCUUUCUGCCAAGCAAAUUCAUUUAAACAUAGAACCGUGUGUUUUAGUCUUCUGUGGCUUUGUUUAAUCUGUUUAUAUAGAAUUUAUCAAAUUUCUUAGCAAUUUUCCAGAGUUCAGUCCUUCCAGUGACCACAUUUCUUAAUGAAGUACGCUUCCUGUAUAUUUCAGUUAAUUUGGAAAAUAAUCAAGAAUUUGGUGGGAUUAGUGAAGUAAGUUUGUUGAAUAUUGAGCUAAUCUUUAGAACAUAUUUAACCCUUCAGUAUUCAGAUUACCCUGGCAAAUGUAAUUUUAUUCACAUUGUUUUGAAUUAAUUAUGCAUUGUCUUGUAGCUUCGAGAUUUUGACGAUGUCAUUGUUUAUAUUUUGAAUGACAUUGUAGGGUAAGUGUGAGAGGUCAGACAUGGCCAUUUUAAACAUAGAACUGGUAGACUAUUUUGGCUAAGUAUGACCAGUUUAAAUGCUAAAGGAUUAGUGGUGGUGCGAGAGGUGGAUUGAGAUCUAAGAAACUAAUAAACUAACUCUCGGUCAAAAUACAAAUUAGGACCUUUUUGUUUAACCCUUUCGUUACCAUUUUCUUUCGAAAUACACAGCGUUUGUUUCGAUUAAUUUUCAAAUUCACAAGCAAUUUAAUAAAAUAACCCUAAUAUUAUUAAGCAGGAUUAGUCCUUUUGAUAGGCGCAGGAGUGGCUGUGUGGUAAGUAGCUUGCUAACCAACCACAUGGUUCUGGGUUCAGUCCCACUGCGUGGCAUCUUGGGCAAGUGUCUUCUGCUAUAGCCCCGGGCCGACCAAUGCCAUGUGAGUGGACUUGGUAGACGGAAACUGAAAGAAACCUGUCGUAUAUAUGUGUAUGUGUGUGUGUUUGUCCCCCUAGCAUUGCUUGACAACCGAUGCUGGUGUGUUUACGUCCCCGUCAUUUAGCGGUUCAGCAAAAGAGACUGAUAGAAUAAGUACUAGGCUUACAAGGAAUAAGUCCUGGGGUCGAUUUGCUCGACUAAAGGUGGUGCUCCAGCAUGGCCACAGUCAAAUGACUGAAACAAGUAAAAGAGUAAUUUGAAAACUAAUUGAAACAAACGCUGUGUAUUUCGAAAGAAAAUGGUAACAAAAGGGUUAAACAAAAAAGGUCCUAAUUUGUAUUUUGACCGAGAGUUAGUUUAUUAGUUUCUUAGAUCUCAAUCCACUUCUCACACCACCACUAAACGAGAGGCUCACUCACUCUCUCCAGAAGGAGCCUUUUUUUAUAAGAUCUUCAUUAAUUUGUAUCUUUAAUCCCUUAUGGUUAACAGUUUGAUGUGUAUUGAUAAUGGUCCACUUCGCCUGGUAUUACUUUUCGAGGUUAAUGUUAGCCUUAAAGCCUCUUAAUCUCUCAAAUUUUCUUUGAGCUAUCAACGUUCAUCUCAUCCAUACCAAGAAGCCAUGUUUUUUUCUGUUACUAUUUUUACAGCCAAGUAGUAGUAGUAAACACACGUAACAACUAUUUUCUUAUUAGUUUCCAUUUAUUGCAUCAAACUUCCCCAAAAUUUCAAUGAGGGAUUCACCAAAUUAUUUUGCUUGAAAGAUCGAAGGUUUUUAUACUUUUGGUUUAUUCAAAUCCAUUCAGAAAUUCUCAGUUAUUAACAGUUAUCUGACUGCUAGUAUCAACUGACAUUUUAAUGGUUUAAACGUUGCUGAAUUUCGCGUUGAUUGAUCACUUUAGUAGUUUUAAGACCAAUUUCUUUAAAACACUUCCAAAGUCUUCAUUUCCUAUUCCUUCAAUUGCCCCAAUAUAUUUUUUUAUUUUCUUUCUUGUAUAUUUACAUAUUGCCUUGAAUUGAUUGCUUUCCCCACAUUUAAUAAACAUUGUUACUAAAUGCCGGAUAUUUUGUGGGCUCAUGUUUAUAUCCACAAAUCAGCAUUUAGAACCAGAUUUAUGCUUAAUCCUUUGAGCAUGUGACAGGGAUUACAUCAAGAACACAUCCACACACACACACUCUCUCUCUCUCUCACACACACAUAAUUAUCUGGAUUUUAGACAUUAUAGAAUGAAUAAUUUGAUGUAUGCAUUAAGCUCCCGAUCGUCUGAUUGAAGAUAUUCUAAUGCAUUUAUACUGUGUGUGAGUCUCGUCAGGAUCUUGUCAUCUUCUGCACUCUGUUGUCCUUAGGUUCCAGUUUUUCAAAUUCAUAAAAACCAUCUGAUAUGCAUAAGACUUUGAUCCUUUCAGUAAUUGCUAAUUCUUUUUGAUGACAUCACAGGUCUUAUAAUGCUAAAAUGUAUCUCAUCAAUUUCCAGCUUAGUAAACUUCUCGCAUGGCCAUCAUACAUACUUUAGAUCAGUGGUUCUUGACCAUUUUUUUGCCGAAGGACCCUUUGGGUUUCUGUCUUGCUUUCCUCAACUCUCAUAGCCAUUUAAUGUAUAUAUAUAUGUGGCUGUGUGGUAAGUAGCUUGCUUACCAACCACAUGGUUCCGGGUUCAGUCCCACUGCGUGGCACCUUGGGCAAGUGUCUUCUACUAUAGCCUCGGGCCGACCAAAGCCUUGUGAGUGGAUUUAGUAGACGGAAACUGAAAGAAGCCUGUCGUAUAUAUGUAUAUGUAUAUAUAUAUAUGCGCGUGUAUGUCUGUGUUUGUUCCCCUAGCAUUGUUUGACAACCGAUGCCGGUGUGUUUAUGUCCCCGUCACUUAGCGGUUCGGCAAAAGAGACCGAUAGAAUAAGUACUGGGCUUACAAAGAAUAAGUCCUGGGGUCGAGUUGCAGCACGACUAAAGGCAGUGCUCCAGCAUGGUCGCAGUCAAAUGACUGAAACAAGUAAAAGAGAAAAGAGAAAGAGGAUAUAUAUAUAUAUGUGUGUGUGUGGAGGCCCAGUGGUUAGGGCAGUGGACUCGCGGUCGUAGGAUCGCAGUUUCGAUUCCCAGACCGGGCGUUGUGAGGGUUUAUUGAAUGAAAACACCUAAAGCUCCACGAGGCUCUGGCAGGGGGUGGUGGCGAUCCCUGCUGUACUCUUUCACCGCAACUUUCUCUCACUCUUUCUUCUGUUGGCCUGCUCGCUUAGCCAGUGGGGUGGCGUCAUUUGAAGGCUAAAACAAUGCGAAGCGCAUUGUGACAUCUGAUAGCCUGCUCGGUUACGAGAGAUUACGAGAUAUAUAUAUAUAAAUCAACUUAGAGAUAAAACCACUAUUAGGCAAAUCAAACGAUGAAAAACAUAAAUCAAAACAUGAAAAUAAAAAUAAUUAGUAUAAUAUACAAAAUAUAUCAUCAUCAUCAUCAUCAUCAUCAUUUAGCGUCCGUUUUCCAUGCUAGCAUGGGUUGGACGGUUCAACUGGGGUCUGGGGAUCCCGAAGGCUGCACCAGGCCAGUCAGAUGUGGCAGUGUUUCUACAGCUGGAUGCCCUUCCUAACGCCAACCACUCCGAGAGUGUAGUGGGUGAUUUUAUGUGCCACCGACACAGGUGCCAGACGAGGCUGGCGAGCCACGCUCGGAUGGUGUUUUUAUGUGCCACCGACACAGGUGCCAGACGAGGCUGGCAGACGGCCACGCUCGGAUGGUGUUUUUAUGUGUGCCGGAUGGUGUUUUUAUGUGCCACCGACACCGAGGCUGGCGGACGGCCACAGGUGCCAGACGAGGCUGGCAGACGGCCACGCUCGGAUGGUGUUUAUGUGCCAGACAGACGAGGCUGGCAGACGGCCACGCUCGGAUGGUGUUUUUAUGUGCCACCGACACAGGUGCCAGAUGAGGCUGGCGGACGGCCACGAUCGGAUGGUGUUUGUUACGUCCCCAAAGCACAAAAUAUAAAAUUUUAAAAUUUAAAUUAUUUAAAUUAAAAUUAUUAAUUUAUAUUUAUAAAUUUUUUAAUUUUUAUUUUUUUAUUAUUAAAAAAAUUUUUUUUAAUGUAUAUAUAUAUAUAUAUAUAUAAAACCCUUUAUAUUUUCAUUAUUAAAUAUUAUUAGGAAUUGUUUCAAAAAGAUUAUUAAAAAUAUUUUGUUUCUUGUUGAAGUAUAACUGAUUUAAUGCACAUAAUGUCUUACAACUAAAUCUUAUUUGGAUCCCUAAGGGUCAGAUGGAAUGCUACGGAGCAUUCUGCCAGCUUACUGCCUUCAGAGUUCUAAUAACAACUUUCUUUUAAUAUCGGCAAAAGACCAGCAUUCCUGAAAAGAGUGAGCAAGUUGAUUAACCCUUUAAUGUUCAGAUUAUUCAAUCAAACAUAAUGCCUAUUGAUUCCCAUUAAUUUGAAUUAAUCAUGCAUUAUCCCAUAUCUUCAAGAUCUUGAUGGUGUAAUUACCUAAUGUAGAAUAACAUUGUAGGGUAGAUGUGAGAGCCUGGAUCUGGUCAGUUUGAACAUAAAACAGAUUAACUAUUUUAACCUGAUAUGGCCAGUUUAAAUACUAAAGGGUUUAGUAGAAUCUAGUACUUGACUGGUACUGUAUUUUAUUGCCCCCUCGUCCCUCUUAAAAAAAUUAAAGGUUAAGUUGAUCUCAGGAGGAUCUGAACACAGUUGGAGUGAAAAUGUGCAUUGCUGAAUACCAUAAGGCAUUUAAGUCCUUGUUGUAAUGGUUCUGCCAAUUAACCAAUGAUAACAUGCUUAUUUACAGCUGCUUUGGUACCAACUAACCCAAUACUGCCCUUAGUUCUGUGACAGGGUUUCAUUAAAACAAGAAAUUUAUAACCUUCAUAAUUUCAUGUUAACAAAUUAACUGCCACAGCCUGUUACUGGAACUUACUGGUUAUGCCUCAUAUUUCUGGUCACCCUGCAUUCAAAUGAAUGUAAAUUGUAUUUUUUUUUUUUUUGCAUUUUUACAAUAUUUCAUAAUUAAACUUAAACAUUUAGCACUCAUGUUAUUUAAAUAUAUUCAAAACCUUGUCAAAAAUACAGAAUAAAAUAUUUUCUUGAAUUAUGAAAAUGUAUCACCAGUGGUGAUUAUGGCAGUUAUGUGAAGUUUGUGAUGAGCCACCAGUGGUACAUACGGUAGUUAAUGAGCUCAUUUGUGUUCAAAGUAUCAGCUUAUUAAUGACAAAGUUAUUAAAAUAAUUUUGUCGUUAUUUACAAAAUUAAAUGCAAACAGCUGGCAGAGUUGUUAGUCCAUCAGACAAAAUGGUCAGUGGCAUUUUUUCCCAACUCUCUAUGUUCUGGUUUCAAUUCCCACUGAAGUCAGCUUUGUCUUUUAUCCUUUCCGGGUUGAUAUAGUACCAGUCAGCUACUGGGGUCAAGGUGAUUGUUGACUACCUCUCCCUUAAAACUUUGAGCGAAAAUUUGAAAGGAUUCAUCAUCAUCAUCAUCAUCAUUGUUUAGCGUCCGCUUUCCAUGCUGGCAUGGGUUGGACGGUUCAACUGGGGUCUGGGAAGCCAGAAGGCUGCACCAGGCCCAGUCUGAUCUGGCAGUGUUUCUACAGCUGGAUGCAUUUCCUAACGCCAACCACUUCAUGAGUGUAGUGGGUGCUUUUUACGUGCCACUGGCACAGGUGCCAGACGAGGCUGGCAAAUGGCCACGAUCGGAUGGCGCCUUUUACGUGCCACCAGCACGGAGGCCAGUCGGGGUGGCGCUGGCAACGACCACGUUCGGUUGUAUCUCUUACGUGCCACCGGCACUGGUAUCACAGCUACAAUUUCCAUAGAUUUUGAUUGUGAUUUUCACUUGCCUCAACAGGUCUUCACAAGUAGAGUUUUGUGUCCCAAGAAAGAAAGGUAUGCAUAAGUGGACUGGCUACAUCCCAUGUAGAGGCCACGGGUUAUGGUCUCACUUCUCCUGCUGGGUCUUCUUACGCACAGCAUACUUCCAAAGGUCUUGGUCUCUAGUCAUUUCCUUUCAAAAUUAAUUGAAGAAAAAAAACAGAGUGUUUCCAUAGUAACAAAAGAGUUAAUCACUUUCUGUGUUCUUUCCAAAAGUUUGGCGUAAUUCUGUUUAAUUUGAGAACAUUGAAGUUGUCUACUGUUCAUGUUAAAUGGGAAUUAAUUUAUCCUACCCCUCCCCUUCAAUAGGAUAAAAGGAAGGAUAGGGGGAAUGCAAGAAAAUAGCCGUUCCCCAUCCCCCUGUCCCCCACAUGUCACCAGUUUUGUCUACUGAUUGCCUCAAAAUGGCGGAAAUAAGGGACUUUAUCAGUUAUUAUGAUCGGACAAGUAUAAAAGACAUUUCUUGAAUUUCCGUAUCGCAUUCACUCGCAAGUGUCAUGGAUAUUCUUGUAUGUAAAGAUCAACAGAACCUUUUUUUUUUAAAGCUGACGUCUACUGUUUAAACAUCGCAUAAACAAUCAUAUUUCUCAUUUCCACGUCUGCCUCAGAAUCUGAGAUUGUUCUCAGGAAUGUGCACCCAAUAACCUACGCCAAUACAUAUUUACAUUAGUUGGUUUCUUUCAUGCCCAUUUUUCAACAAAUUCUUUCUUCCUAAUUCCUCUCUCUCAUUCCUUCUCUUGCUCUCUCUCUCUUUCUGUUUGUCUUUUUCUGUCUCUUUGCCGUCUCUUUUCCAUUUCUUUCUCUUUUAUUUUUCAUCUCAUUUUAUGUUUCUUUCUUCCUCUCUCUCUCUCUGACUCUCUUCAUAGUUCAUUCCAUCUGUUUAUGUGUGUGAAAAAAAAAAGAACGGAAGUCCAAAGAACGGUAGCGCUUGUAUAGGACAAGCUCUUUCAUCAAAUGUUUCUUAACCCUUUGGCAUUCGCAUGACUCCAACGAAUGUAAUGCUUAUGUAUUCACAUUUGUCUUGAAUUAAUCAGGCAUUAUCUCAAGGCUUCAAGAAUUUGAUUUGAUGAUUGUUUAUUUUUAGAAUGACAUUGUAGGGUAGGUGUGAAAGGUCAGAUCUGGUUGGUUUGGAUAUGAAACAAGAUACAAAAUUCGGGCCUGAUUUGGCUGGAUUUAGUAAAGAAAUCUAAACCAGAUUACUGUAGCUGUUAUUGUGAUUUAGCCCCAGACCAACUGGAUCAAGCCUACCUAUAAUCAAAAGCACUCCAGCAAGGGCCAUCCUGACUUUUAUCCAGUUUUUCUAAGAUUUCAUUAUGAUGUUUGUUGUGUGAUUUAACAACUCUUUAGCACUUAAACUGGCCAUAUACAACCCUAAUAUUCUAUCUGUAUUAUGUUCAAAACGGCCACAUCUGGCUUCUCACACCUACUCUACAAUAUCAUUCCAAAAACAUACAAACAUGUCAUUGAAAUAUCUGCCACACGUAAUAGAAAUCAGAUGUUCAGAUAAGCAACUUUGUUUUCCAACUUAGCACACAUCUAAAAUCUCUUUUUCCAGUGUAAAUUAUAAUUACUUUAUCAUUUCAUUUGAUAAUCUAUUUCAUUAUCUCUGUGAACACAGUUUCGUCUUCCAUCCCAUAUGUUUGGAGAAAAAACGAUCCCUACUCUCAAUCCAACUCUCCCACUUUCUCCCUUUCCCCACUCUUUCACACUCAUUUAUUAUUGCCAUUUAUUAAUUCAUUUAUCUAAAUUUUGUCACAGUUUAGUUGACCGAAAACUGUCGGUUAUAGCUCUAGUUAAGAAUGCAAACGCCCAAUUCUAUCUCAUUAUUAUCAUUACUAUUCUUUCACACUGGCAGCCUGAGUUUUUGCUGUUUCGCAGUGCCCACACACACGAGUUGGUCAGAGAUGGAAAGAUCAAACAUCUAUGAUCUCUUUUGUAUGACCACUAAGACUGAAGGUGGAAAAGAGAAGAUGGGGGGGAUGUCAGCAUACUCUCAGAAUGGUGACAUAGUUCCAAAGCAUGCAAUGUAAGUAAAUUCUGUUAAUUAGUGCUGGAUAUAUAAGAGCCAAGUGGAGGUGUUGACCCUUUCGUUAUCGACCUGGCUGAAACCACCUCUGGCUCUGUAGUAAAAAUGUCUUGUUUUCAUAAGUUUUGAAUUAAAAUCUUCCACUAAACCUUUGUCACAAUGUUCCUAACACUAACUUAAUGAUAACUAAGUUAUUUUAUUAACUUCUUUAUUUAUAUCUAAAAUAAUUGAGAGAAACACAGACUAUCUCAAAAUAAAUACUGUAAUGAAAGGGUUAAACCCAUGCAGCAGAUUAAAUCGGCCAUCUAAAAAUAGCUAAAGUCCAUCCAGAUGGCUUUCACACACAAAAUUUGUAUUGACCCUGCAUUGAAAUUUUGGAAGAAGAAAGACAUAUCAUUGACUUGUGGUCCCCCUAGUGGUUGUCACUAUUACAAGGGAGAUAAUAAUUUCUUUAUAAUGUUUCGUGUGAUUAGGAAUUUAAAUUUGGAAAGAAGAAAUUAUAAGGGAAAAAAUGGAUUAGAUUCACUCAUUUAUUUAUUAUUAUUAUUGCAUACUUAUACUGAAGUGCUUAAAAUUUGAAGUCAUCAUAGAUUGGUUUAUAGAUUCCAUUAGUGUAUCUAGUUUUUGAAAAAAAUAGUUUUAACUUCAUUUGUAGAAAGUUUUUUUUUUUUUUUUAUUAAUUCUAUGAAAAUAAGGGAUGGUGGAAAUUUUAUUUGCAAAUUUCUGUUUUGUUGUUACAUUUCAAAAUUUGUAAAUAUGAAAUAAAAAAAAAAAAAAAAAAGAAAUAGAAAUUAUAAUUGCGACUAGAUUUAGAAUUUAAGAAUUAGCAAAAAUGUUGAAGAUUAAAAUCAAAUUGAAGAUAAAUUUUUAUUGAGUCAUGCUUUAAGUUUGAAUUAAGACUUCUAAUUUUUAUGUUUGAAUUUUGAUUUCACUAUAAAUUUAUGAAUUUGAAAUUACAAAUGCAACAUGACUAAAAUGUUGAGUAUUUCUCUUUGCAAUCUCAAGGUUUCAGGUUCAUGCCCAGUCUACCUAGGUUUCAUCUAAGCUUUGGGAGUGAAAUUGGAUAGAUGGAGCCUGUAUUAUAUUGUAAAGAUCUCAUCCAUGACCCAGACAAGUUUCCUUAAAUUAUGACUGACAUUCGUGCUGGCAUGGCUGUGUGGUAGAAAGCUUGCUUCUCAACCAUAUGGUUCUGUGUUCAAUCCCACUGCAUCACACAUUGGGAGAAUGUCUUCUACUAUAACCUCAAGCAGAUCUUGUGUGUAUGUUUGUUUCCCACUACCAUCACGUGACAACCGGUGUUGGUGUGUUUAUGUCCCCUAGCAGUUUGGCAAAAUGGACUGAUAGAAUAAGUACCAGGCUUUUAAAAAAAAAGUACUGGGGUCAUUUCAUUCGACUAAAAUCUCUUCAUGGCAGUGCUCCAGCUUGGCCUCAGUCUAGUAGCUGAAACAAGUAAAAAAUAACAAAUAAAAGAUACUAAUUAUGCAUCUAUAUACUGUUUAUGAAAGGCAGCGAGCUGGCAGAAAUGUAAGCACGCUGGGCAAAAUGCUUAGUCCGCCGCUGCGUUCUAAGUUCAAAUUCUGCUGAGGUCAACUUUGCCUUUCAUACUUUCGGGGUUGAUAAAUUAAGUACCAGUUACGCACUGGGGUCGAUGUAAUCGACUUAAUCCGUUUGUCUGUCCUUGUUUGUCCCCUCUGUGUUUAGCCCCUUGUGGGUAGUAAAGAAAAGGUAUUUUCUUUGUCCUUACAUUCUGAAUUCAAAUUCUGGCAAGGUUGACUUUGCCUUUCAUCUUUUUAGGGUCAAUAAAUUAAGUACCAGUUGCAUGCUGGGGUUGAGCUAAUCGACUGGCCCCUUCCCUGAAAAUUUCUGGCCUUGUGCUUUGAGUAGAAAAGUAUAUACUGUUUAUGAAUACCAGAAUGUAUUUAUCUCCUACUUCCUUCCUUGCCUUGGUGAUUUCCUCAACAUCAUCAUCUGCUUAUCACCACUUUCUUGCUCAUGUCUUUUAUAUAGCUCACCUACAACAAGAAACCUGUUCUGCUCUGGCCCUUUCUCAUGCUGUUACCCUUCUUCUCCUUGCAUAAAGUUGCUCUUCUUUUACACCAUUUGGGUUUGUAGUCUUGUAAGUUGCAUGGCCAUCUCAUUAGUGCUGGUACUACAUAAAAAAGCACCCAGUGUAGGCUAUAAAGCAGUUGGUGUUAGGUAAGGUGUCCAACCUUAGAAACCCUACCAAAGUAGAAACUGGGGCAUGCUGCAGUUUCUGGGCCCAACGGAUCCUGUCAAAGCAUCCAACCCAAGCCAGCAUGGAAUAUGGAUACUAAAUGAUGAUCCUCAGUCGCUACACCCUGCUCCCCAGUUACCUGGCUUGGGUGGGUUGGAUGCUUUGACAGGAUCCGUUGGGCCCAGAAACAUGCAGCAUGCCCCAGUUUCUACUUUGGUAUGGUUUCUAAGGUCGGACACCCUAAUUAACAGAAAAUUGAUGUACAGUGAUACAGACAAGAUUGUUACCUUAUUUGGUCAUUCGGAACGUAAAACCUUGGAAUAAACACUGCAAAGCAUUUUGUUUGAGACUCUUCAUCGAUUCCACCAAUCCACCGGCUUUGUUCGGUACUUUAGUUUUCCAAUUCCGAAAGGAUGGAUGGCCAGAUUUGACCUUGGCAGCGUUUAAAUUCAGAACUUAAAGUGCUGGAAUAAAAAUAACAACACAGACAUUUUGUCUGAUGCUCUCACAAUUUUGCCAGUUUAAUGCUUUUUUUCUUCUUCUUUUUGCUGUGUUUUUUUUUUGUUAUUGUAUUUUGCUUCUGUAAUUUUUGGUUUAAAUUGGCAGUUAAGGCUUCUAUUCUGUUUUUUAAUUUCACAGUCAGAUACAUUUCUCCAUGGCUGUAAAAUCAUCAUAAACUUGUCUCAAAAUAUAAUGUAAAAGUUUUACCUCUGUUUUUUUUUUUACACCUAAUCACCAUUCUCACACUAUUUAUAUGGCACAUAAUAAUAAUAAUAAUAAUAAUAAUAAUAAUAACAAUAACAAUAAUAAUAAUUAUAAUGAUGAUAAUAAUAAUAAUAAUAAUAAUAAUUAUUAUUAUUAUUAUUAUAAUGAUUUCUUUUAAUAAUAUUGUUUUAACCUAAAUCUGUAUUUGUUUUUUUUUUAAUGUAUAUAUAUAUAUAUAUAUAUAUAUAUAUAUAUUAUUGUGUAUAUUUUAUCCGAAGUUAAUUUGAUGUGAGUGGGAAUGCUGUUAUUUUCCCGACUGUCAAAAUAUCUCUGUUUGUCGGAACUGAUGCCUGUCAUUAUUCUUAGGAUUUCAACCAAGUUAUGUUGAAUAGUUAAAUUGUUACCUUAUAAAUUCAAUCUUGCUGUCAUCACCUGAAAUUUUCUCAAGAUGUUUACCAGAUUUUUACAUAUCCUCAUUGAUGUCGUUAAGAUUAUUUUUCUGUUCUAGCUAGGGUUAUCGAUGUUUGAUACCCCCCCUCCCCUCCACUUCUCAUUGGUUCUGUUCUUAACUUUCUCAUGAUUUCAAUUUCUUCUGUCGUCUUGCUAUUUUAUUCAAGUAUUUAAGUGUUUUACUCAAAUUUUCCACUCAUUUUUAUCCACUAGUACAGAAUUUAUCCAUUUAUAAUUUCAGUUAUACCUUAUCAUCCCAUUCACUAACAGACUCCUCUCUGGAGAAACAGACUCCAUCUCUGGAGAAAUGAUGCCCCUUAUAACUGGGGGCAUCCAUGUCAAAUCCUUAUAUUGUCUUCUUUUCUUCAUUAGACUGUGGCUAUGGUGGAGCACCACCCAUUCAGCAAAUUGACCCCAGAGCUUAUUCUUUGUAAGCCUAGUACUUAUUCUAUCAGUCUCUUUUGCUGAACCACUAGCUUACGGGGACAUAAUCACACCAGCAUCGGUGUACUUUACUUUAGCUGGCCUGGGGCUAUAGUAGAAGACAUUUUGCCCAAGGUGUCAUGCAGUGGGACUGAACCCGUAACCAUGUGGUUGAUAAGCAAGCUACUUACCACACAGCCACUCCUGUGCUUAAGCAUUAUUUUUGAUAAAAUGAUGUGAAUGUUAACCCUUUCAUUACCAACCCGGCUGAAACCGUCUCUGGCUCUGUAGUACAAAUGUCUUGUUUUCAUAAGUUUUGAAUUAAAAUCUUCCACCAAACCUUAGUCACAAUUUAUGUUCCUAACACUAGCUUAUUGAUAACUAAGUUAUUUUACUAAAUUCUUUGUUAUAUUUAAAGUAAUUGAAAGAAACACAGAGCAUCUCAACAGAAAUACAGUAAUGAAAGGGUUAAAGGGUUAAGGCCUUUUGAAGAACAAGCAAAAUGUUGCUUAAAAAAUUUCAUGAAUAAUAUUAAAAUAAAAGAACAAAAUAUUUAUUUCCAGUAAGCCUAAUUUAGUAAUAACAAUGAUAGGUAAAAGAGAAUAGACUUUUCUAUAAAGAAUCGGUUUGUUCAGGAUUAAAUAACUUGCCAUGGUGUUAACUUGUGCCUGAGUAGUUAAUCUGUAGUGAGUGAGCCUCCUCCUCUUGAUGGCUGUGGAAGGUGCUGGUGCCUGGAGUUGCGGUUUAGGCCAAGGGCAGUAUAGAAGAGCUGGAGGCAUUUACCACAGGGGAAGGUUGGCAGGGAACAGGUAAGUGAACAUCAUCCUUUGAGUCUUUGACACCUGAUCUCUGCCUUUUGAUAUCUGUUAUUUUCCAUUUGGUCUGUUCCCUCCAGUAUGACAUGCCACCACUUUGGGUGGCCCUUGCAAAUGUCUACCCCAAAUAUUUGGGUCAAUGGAGUAGAGGAGGAAAGUGGCCUUGAGCUGGUCUCGGAAAUGGAAUUUGGGAGCUCUGCAUGGUCUGGUACUUAUAGCCAACACCGCAGAGAGGAGUCGACGGGAGAGGUAUAUUUUAGGCGGCAAGCUGGCAGAAACGUUAGCACACCGGGCGAAAUGCUUAGCGGUAUUUCGUCUGCCGUUACGUUGUGAGUUCAAAUUCCGCCGAGGUCGACUUUGCCUUUCAUCCUUUCGAGGUCGAUAAAUUAAGUACUAGUUACGCACUGGGGUCGAUGUAAUCGACUUAAUACCUAUAUCUGUCCUUGUUUGUCCCCUCUGUGUUUAGCCCCUUGCGGGUAAUAAAGAAAUAGGUAUAUUUUAGACAUGCAUGUGAAGUGUGAAAGAGAUAGGCUUUUCUAUAAAGAACUGGUUUGUUCAGGAUUAAAUGAAGACCAUAAAUCUUAUAACUAACAUCAGAUGAUAUUUUGCUGGAAUUAAAUUAGCUGGUUUGAGAUAGAUAGAUAAAUGGAGUGGGGAGAAAGAACAAAAAUACGAAAACCUGCCAUAUAUCUUAAUGAUCCAUCAUAAUUGGUGUAUUUGCUUCUUCCUUUCAGCCUGUAAAUCUCCUACUAUGAAGAGAUAAUAAUCUCUACCUAUCACCAGCUGAUACAUCUUUACAGUGAAUAUAUGACACAUCUAUUGUUCUCCAAAUUCACUGUAUAUUGAUAUAAUACAUAUUCUCUGUGCUUUUCAGAUAUUACUGACAGCGAGUGAAUGGUCUUUUCUUGUAGUUCAACUAAUCUUCUAUAAUAUGUAUAUUUAUGAACUGGAAAAACGCAUUUUGUUGCUGCUUUUGUGGAAUAUAUGCGGUCAGCAUCUGCUUUAGUAAACUUUAUAGCACAUGAGGCAUGGGCAAUUAAAUAGUUUUAAAAAAUUGCCUACCUUUUAAGUCUUGAAUAUCAUGGGCAUAUCUAGAUAUUGUCAUCCUCUUCAGCGUUGGCUGCGGUCAUUUGUUUCCAUGGUUCUUCAGUGAUUUCUGUCUUUGUUCUCAUCAUCAUUGCCAUCUUUGUUGUUCUUCUCAUUAUUGCAGUGGCCAUUGUUGUCUAUAUAUAUAUACACACACACAUAUAUGUUUGUGUGUCUGUGUUUGUCCCCCCAACAUCGCUUCACAACUGAUGGUGGUGUGUUUACGUCCCCGUAACUUAGCUGUUCGGCAAAAGACACCGACAGAAUAAGUACUACGCUUCCAAAGAAUAAGUCCUGGGGGGUCGAUUCGCUCUACUAAAAGGCGGUGCUCCAGCAUGGCCGCAGUCAAAUGACCGAAACAAUUAAGAGAGAAAGAGAAAAAAGUAGCAGCAUAUGGACAUCAGCACCACACCAUCACUAUUACAGCACAGUGCUUCUUCUGCAUUGUGUGAGUCAAAUACUGGGGUUAAUUUAAUCGAUUGAUACCAAUGUCUCUCCGGCUUCUUGAAUGAAGCAAGAGACGAUGAAUGGGAGCUUGCAACGCAUCUUCUUUCCUGUCUCAUCAACUGCUUGUGUACGAAGGUGUGAAUACCAUGGCUGCAUCAUUCCUGCGAGAGAAGCUGCACCUCCCCCUCCCUUAGGCAUUGGACAGCAUUAAAUUGACAUAAUGAUAAAAUAAUAUCAGAAAAAAUCCUAUAAUUAAUGGUGGGAUAUGUCAACAGAAGAGGAAGAAUAAGUUAUAUGGUAAAAGACUUAGAAUUGGUUAUUCUAUAUUUUUGGUAUUGCCUGACAUUUUCUUUUUUUUUUUUUUUUUUUUCCCCCGUUACAGUUUAGCUGUAGAGAGCGAAAGGAGAAUGAAUUUUAUUUUUUCCUUCAUGAAGUAUGAAGACACUGAAUGUGAUAGAUGUCGUUCAUCUCUGCAAAUCAAUAUUACGCUUUAGAAGAACCUUAUUGCACAUUGUCAUACUUUAUGUAAAACUGUGAAGGCCAUUGUAACACUGCAUUACUAUUUUUGGUUUAAGGUGGUUUAAAAAAAUUUUUUUUUUCAUGAUCCUCUUUUACUCGUUUACUUGUGUCGUUCAUUUGACUGCAGCCAAGCUGGAGCACCGGCUUUAGUCGAACAAAUUGACCCCCAGAACUUAUUCGUUGUAAGUCUAGUAUCAUUCAAUCGGUCUCUGGUGAAAAGUAAUUGGAGUGGGGCAAUUUACUGAUGUAUUUUGAAUGUAGAAUCUCUGCAUGCUUGUAGGAAUUUGAAGAGAUUGUAAUUAUUGUAAUGAAAGUAAAAAGUACAAAUUUGUUGACCUUUACAAAAUCCUUUGAAUGGAAGAAAUAAUGGUAUAUUUUGAAAUCCUCUUUCUUAUGUGAGCUGUGCAGUUUCUAGCUCUGAGAUAGGAAAUGUAUGUGAAAACCCCUACAUGUGCUCAACUGUAUUCAACCAUCAAAUUUAUAUUUAUUUAUUGCCCACAAGGGGCUAAACAUAGAGGGGACAAGCAAGGACAAACAAAGGGAUUAAGUCUAUUACAUCGACCCCAGUGCGUAACUGGUACUUAAUUUAUCGACCCUGAAAGGAUGAAAGGCAAAGUUGACCUCGGCGAAAUUUGAACUCAGAACGUAACUGCAGACAAAAUACUUAUUUCUUUACUACCCACAAGGGGCUAAACACAGAGAGGACAAACAAGGACAGACAAACGGAUUAAGUCGAUUAUAUCGACCCCAAUGCGUAACUGGUACUUAUUUAAUCGACCCCAAAAGGAUGAAAGGCAAAGUUGACCUCGGCGGAAUUUGAACUCAGAACGUAGGAGCAGACGACAUACCGUUAAGUAUUUUGACCAGCGUGUUAAUGUUUUGCCAGCUUGCCACCUUAAAAACACAGAAAUAUAUCUAUUUCCUUAUUGCCCACAGGGGACUAAACAUAGAGGGGACAUACAAGGACAGACAAAGGGAUUAAGUCGAUUACAUCGACUUCAGUGCAUAACUGGUACUUAAUUUAUUGACCCCAAAAGGAUGAUAGGCAAAGUCGACCUCGGCAGAAUUUGAACUCAGAACAUAACGGCUGACGAAAUACGGCUACGCAUUUCGCUCGGCUUGCUAACAUUUCUGCCAGCUUGCCGCUUCGUAUAUUUGUACCUCAGUGUCACUUUGAUAGUGUGUGCUACUUUCAAUAAUAAACAAUAAUGAUAAUUUUAUUUUAAAAAAAAAAAAAAACAAGUCCUAAAGAACCGAAAGUAAUGUUCUUUGUCUCGAGGUAUAAAUGGCAAUUUCAGUGUCAGAAGUGAAAUUCUUUUGGGUCAGUAACACAUUAACUACAUCACUCAAUCAUUUUCAAUGUUGAACUUUCUGGUUCUUUGAUUGUAUCGGAUAAAUUCUUCUGACGAGUAAAUAAUUAAGCCAUUAAUUGCAGUCAAUUUCUUACACAGUACCUUUGCUAAUUAGUUCAUACUUUGGAUUCAUUAGUGUAAUAAUAUAUCUUUGAUGUCCUAAUAAGAAUAGCAUUAUAUAUGACUCAGGCACUAAACAAAGGUUGUUUGUUGGGCCAAGCUAUUUUGGGAUUGUUAUUUCUUGCUUAUUCUCUGCAGUUUUAUUUAUUCUAAACUAUUCAAACUGUUGAGAUAUUGAUGCAAAAUUUUAGGCUAUAAAUAUCUCACUCCCCACCACCUCUCUCUCUCUCUCUCUCUCUCUACAUAUAUAUGUAUGUAUAUAUAUAUAUGUAUGUAUGUAUAU